rnacentral:lncRNA from 1 species
UGUUGGAAAAGCCUGAUUUAUAGACAAAUACUAGAAAAGGCAAGUGUAAAUGGGCAAAUUUGCCUGGGCCCACUAGAAACCCAAAUAUACAACAAUAAAUAAAUAUAUAUAUUAAACCCAACAGAUAUUAUAAACAGUCCUAUUUUACAGUCCAGUACCCAAAACUAAAUACAAUGGGCCCGAUGCCCUAAGUACCAUAUACAAACCCAAAACAUAACCCAAGACCCAAUUAAAAUCUAAUAGCUAAAACCUAACCCAAACCCCAGAGGCCCAAACGAUAGCCCAACUACAAGAACAGGCCCAAUAAACCCAUAUCCUUAACAGGUUUCAGAAACCCUAAGUCGUCCCCUUUCCUUUCGCCGCAACAACCCCUGGCCUCCGUACCUCCCAGCGCCAUACGCUCAAUACCCUCUAGUAGCCACGCCUAUGCCUCCGUAUGGCCCCCUGCGCACCUCCGUACGACCUUCACGCACCACCCGUACCCGAGCGCCAGCACACCCACACCUACAAAGAGACAAACAAGCAACAACAGCAAAGGGAAACAAAAAAAGAAAAACAUUGUAUUUUUUAUUUUUCGUAAAUUUUUCCUCUUUCUUUUUUGGCUAUAAAGCCAGAAUUUCAGUCUUUGUAAAGGGUUACGCAACAAAAAAACAAAAUAUCAACGCAUAUUGUAUGAAUACAGAGAUAAUAGAAAGCAAUCGAAAAAACUAAGAAGGUGAUUUCAUUUCCCUUUUGAGCUCUCUGUUCUUCACUUAUUUCAGUGGGCUUUUCUUCAUCGUUUUAUACUAAAAAAAAGAAAGGGAGAAGCGAAGCUUACCUGCGUUUGAUGCCUUCGAACCCUCGCUUGCUUCGCCAUGAUCAAAACCAAGUGGCGAUUCAAGGUUUAUGAGUAAGAUGCGUGAGUCUUUAGGUUCAAUGAAGCCUUGAUUGACUCUCGAAUGAGUCAAAAGGAGAGGCAGGAGAACAGGCCUUCGAAAGACCAGUGAACGGCGAAGGGUGAGGGCACCCUAGUUCUUUUUUUCUUUCUCACCCUUUGAAGAUGGCUGCAGACCCUUUUAGGGUUUCUUUCGGUGGUCAUAAAGGGCUUCCAGACGUCAUCGUUUUAAGCCAAACUACUAGCUCCAAAACGACUGUGUUCAAAGCUAGACCCGACCGACUCGAUUCCUGACCCCGAUGACCUGCGCGUUUUGGCGGUGAGGGUUUAUUUUCAAUGUUGGUCCCUCCCUUUUGCGAUGUAUUCAGAUCAGCUGUAUUCUUGUUUCUUUUUUUUUAAUUUACCUCUGUGAUUUACACCUGUUUGCAAUUGGAUCCGCGCCCAAGCACAUCAUUUUGGGAUCUGGUAUAUUACCAGUUUUAAUCCCUAGCUGUUUUCACGUAUAGAUUAUUAGUCUUUUUACUGCUAUUGUUUUAUUUUUAAAUUGUCCCUGCUAUUUUAGUUUAAUUAUUAUUAAGUUUUCCUUUGUUCCAUCCCCUUUUCUAUUCUUAAUAAACUAUUUUGCCUUUUUUUAAUCACUUUAAUAAUUGUUUCUUCAUCAUUUUAAACGUUUUUUUAUAUUAUUAUCACAUUUUGUAAGUUUAAAUUAUUUUAUACUUAUUUAUAUUAGUACACAUAUUCUAUAUAUAUAUAUUUCUAAAUCUAUACAUUUUAUAUAUACAUUUUCUUUACACAAAAGCAUGUUUUUUUAAUCUAUUGUUUAAUUUUUUAUAAAAUUAAUUUGGCCCUAUGAGUAUUAUCUUUUCUAUGUAAUUUUACUUGUAAUUAUUUUCAAAAGUCAUAUGUACAUAUAUAUAUUGAUAUUAUUACUUUAAUAGGUUUUCCUACUUACAACAUUUUGCUAUAUGAGUUAUCAAGUAUUUUCUUUAUGCAUGUAUAUGGAAGAAUUUUAGAAACCUCAUUUUUUUGUAAUCAUAAAAUUAUUAUUUUUGGAUGUUCCUUUGUAUUACAUUACUUUGUGUUUUAUAUAGUCCCUUAUUUAGACGUUUUGAUAUAAACGCAUGUAUAUACUUUUUAGACUAAGUUAAAGCCUUUUAUUAAUCUAAUGAUUAUUUUCAAAGCUAUCUAUAUGUACAUUUGUUUUAUGAACGUACUUUGUGUAUUAUAUUUUUGCCAUAUAUCUUCAUUACUCCUUUCCAUAUUAGACAUAUUAUUUAAAAUCGUCAUGUAGUUUGUCAACUUUAAAAUAUGUUUGUGUUUAAAAUUUUUUACUUGCAACUUGAUUCAAAUUCUCAUUCUUUAAUAUCCAUUUCAAAAUAUAUACACAUAUCCCUAUUUUUUAAGCUUGUCAACCUAUAUAUGUCUAGCUUAUUGAUCUUAUACCAUUUUGAUUUCUACAUUUCAUUUGCUUCACGCAUAUCUUGUUGUUUUCUUUAUAUUUUAUGGCAUGAAUAUAUAUAAUCAUUGCAUGGUAUUCGUCUUAAUGAUUUGUUAAUUGUUCUUCGUAUGUGAUUGAGAUUUGAUUAUAAUCUUUAGAUUAAUUAUAUUUAAUCGCAUAUUCUGCUAGUGGAUUAAUAUUAUUAUUCAUCAAGCAUCGUACCAUUAUACGUGCCUGUCACCCUAUAUCAAUGUUUCCCACUUAAUUUUUGAAAUGUGGUUUUAUAAAAUUCAAAUUUUCAUGAUUAAUUUCACCUUAUUUCGAAUCGAAUUAAUACGUCUUAAGCUAGCUUUAUAAUCAUUCAUUCAAAAAUUCUUCAAAACGAAGACGAGAUUCGAUGUUUGGUAAUUCGCGGAAUUGUGCCCUAACGUGUUGGGUUGCAAUUUCGCGUUUGCUCGAAAUAAUCGAAUAUCACUUCAAAAUUUCACUCAUGUCUUUUAAAAUUCUUCAAAACGAAGACGAGAUUCGAUAUUUAGCAAUUCGCGGAAUCGUGCCCUAACGUGUUGGGUUGCAAUUUCACGUUUGCUUAAAAUAAUCGAGUAUCCCUUCAAAAUUUCAUUCAUAUCUCCUAAAAAUUAUUUAAAACGAAGGCAAGAUUUGGCAUUUGGCAAUUCGAGAAUCAUGCCCUAUCGUGCUGGGUUGUGAUUUCCCGUUUGCUCAAAACGAUCGAACAUUCCUUUAUAUUCUCACUCAUGUUUAUAAAAAAAAUACUUAAAAACGAAGACGAUGUUCAAUGUUUGGUGAUUUGAGAAUCGUGCCCUAUCGUGCUGGGUUGUGCUUUUUCAUUAGUUCGAAACAAUUGAACAUCCCUUCGGAAUUUCACUCACAUUUUCUAAAAUCUUUCAAAAUGAAGGUGAUGUUCGAUGUUUGGCAAAUUGAGAAUCGAACCCUAUCGUGUUGGGUUGCGCUUUUUCAUUUGUCCAAAAUAAUCGAAUAUUUCCUCAGAAUUUCACAUGUAUCUUAUAAGGUAAGGCAAUGGUCAAUGUUUGGAAAUUUGAGGAAUCGUACCCUACUAUGCUGGGUUUCGAUUUUUCGUUGGACCAAAUAGAUAGGCAUCUUUUUGAAAUUCUCGAAUUAUAAGCUUUCGGACAUCGAAACAAGAAGAUUUUGGCAACCAACUCGGGUUACUCAAACGUUAUAAAAAAGAACCACAUUUCAAAAACUUUUUAAUUUUAGACAUAAGGACAGUAUUUAAUCGAUUCGGUACCAAUUUUGGGCGUAGUGAGGGUGCUAAUCCUUCCUCAUGCGUAACCGACUCCCGAACCCGUUUUCUCAAAAGUUCGUAGACCAAAAUUGUUGUUUUAUUAAACUAACCUCAUUUUUAGGUGAUCCGAUCACACACAACUUCACACGUCUUAUUUUCAAAAGUCGAUUCCCCCCGUAUUUUCAUUAAAUUUAAAAAUUUUAAAAAUUUUAAAAAGGGUGGUUUCGACAGCUUGGCGACUCCACUGGGGACUGGUUGUGAGUCGAGCCAUAAAAAUCGAUUAUCUGCUAUCCUUUUGUCAAAAAUCAAAAUUUGUUUUAAAAAUCAUGUAUCUUUCGAUUGCAUUUGAUUGUAUGUUUGUGCGGGUCUUGUAGAAUAGCACUGCAUUUCAUUGCAUGACCACUGUGGUCACGCCUCCUAAGUGGGAGUAAGAAACUACGCUUUCGUGAGGUUUUCACCUCCGCAUGGGCUAGUGGAUUGCUUCCGGGGUACAUCCGUACCUAUGAUUUCGUGAGAUUUUCAUCUCCGCAUGGUCAUAGGGAAAUGUAUCCCCUCGAACUGAACUCGAUCUAUAUGAGCCUAUAAUGGGUGAGGAUUGAGGAACCUGCUGGUUCGGGUACCUUAUCCCUAGAACUAAACCACAUAUAGUGAACCUUAGGAGCUAUCCUUCGGUGGAGCCGCGUCGAGCCUUAGUACUUACCCGUAUAUGCACUAUAAUUAUUGUUUAUGUGCUUGCAUUUUAUCGCUAUUAUUUGAUACUAACCGGUGUUUUGUUUUGAUUGUCUUUUUUGCAUGACAUUACAUAUUAAAGGAGGCGUUACUCCGCAUUCAAUUACUAAGUUAGAAAAUUUGAAAUGGAGAAUGAAUUUCUUAGUAAAGUCGAGGAUAAUGCGGCCGUUCGUGCAUGGUCGGAGAGGCUACAACUAGAGAGAGGGAAUAGCUUUGCAGAAGAGCAUGUAUCAGAGCUGCAGGAUUUCACUCGUGUUAAUGUAGUACAAAAUGAGCUGCAAGAGUUGAGAGACAUUUGGGCUAGUUGGGAUGAAGGGAUCAAGCAGUUGUUUUACCAAAACUACGGCGACAUAUCCUACCUGCUAGACAUUAGAGUGGAUAAGCAUUUGUUCCGGGCCUUGGUGCAGUUUUGGAAUUCUGCGUACAAGUGCUUCACUUUUGGAGAAGUGGAUUUGGUACCUACCAUGGAGGAAUACACUACGCUACUUAGGUGUCCAAAGAUUCAGGUCCGGAAGACUUAUGCUCGGGUUUUUAGUAAUCAGGCUUUCGUGAAGAAGCUGAUGGGCAUUUCUGGGAUGAGCGAGCCUUGGGUCACUGCUCGGAUUUAGCAAAAAGGAGAUAGCAAAUGUAUCCCUUGGGAGAAUUUGCGAGAUUUGGUCUUGACGCAUCCAGACGAAAGAAAGAGGGUCGAUAUAUUUUCCUUAAGCAUCUACGGAUUAGUGAUCUUUCCUAAGGCUUUGAGGCACGUGGACGAGGCGGUCAUCGACUUGUUCGAUCGCCUUGAAAAGGGAAUCACACCAGUACCGGCAAUAUUGGCAGAAACGUUCAGGUCUUUGAGCUCAUGUCGGAAGACAGGCGAGGGGUGGUUUAUUGGAUGUGCUCAACUAUUGAUGGUAUGGUUUCAUGGGCACUUUUGGAAGGUAGACAAGGUUUCCUAUCGAGUCUUUUCCGAAGGUUAUUCCCCUUUGAAAGAAGAGGCAGCUAUACAGAGGAGAGAAGAUAUCUCAGAGGAGAAGUGGAUGGAUAUUCUUUAACACCUUAGGGAUGGGGAUAUCGAGUGGAGAGCUUAUUGGAUGGUCCUUGACGAGAUCAUGUAUCGAUGUGGUAACUUCAAUUGGGUGCCACUGUUAGGAAUCUGGGGAGCUACCGGGUAUACUUCGUUGAUAGCCUUGAGGUAAUACAAGUCUAGGCAGUUUGUGCCCAUGACCUACGGACUUGUUCAGAGUGAAUUCUCAUUUAAAGGUGCUCACUAUAAGAAGAGAGUUCGGGAGUUAUCGGAUGCUUGGAAGCAAACUUGUUGGAUGAAGAGGUUAGCCGUCAGUUCCAUAGUAAUGCCCGAGUAUAACGAAUGGUUUAAGAAAAGGAUUAAUGAUAAUAUUCCUAGGCCAAGCUUGGAGAAUGCUAGACCUAUCGGGGAACAAUUGCAAGUCGCCCCAUCAGAAUUGGAAAUUAUAAGGCAAGAUUUCGAGAAGAAAAGUUUGGAGUUUGGGAAGAAGAUCGAACAAUUGGAGGAAGAGAAGAUGCACCUAAGAUUAGACGCUGAUGUUCAGAGGUUAGAGGCUGAGAAGUGGAGAAAAGGAAAAACUAAGGCCGAAGAAGAUCUAGACAACUUGAAGACGGACUACAAGAAGCUAUGCCUAUCCAUGAGGACUGCGGGUUUAGGUAAGACUUCCGAACAAUGGCGCCAUGAAAUUCGGGAAGAAAAGGCCAAUACCGAACGAUGGGAAAGGAAAUUCUGAGAAACUCAGGCACGAAACGAAGAUUUGGAGAGGAGUUUAUCGGAAAGCAGAAAUGAGCGAGGGGAAUUAAGGGCUAGAGUGGCAGAACUCGAGAAGUCUCUGCAACACUUCGAGAUGCGGAUCCAGUUUUUUGAAGCAAACGAGGAUCGUUGGAAAGAGCAGCUUCACCAUGCACAAGACCAAGUCAGAAAUAGAGAUUACCUCAUGGGGUAAGCCAUAACCCAGAUUCGGGAGGUAGUAGAUUAUUUGCAAACUUUAGCGGUUCAGGCGCACACACUGAGCGUGAAGUAUGAGUUGGAGUCAGAGCGCGGACAAGAGCUGUCCUCGUUGUUUAGAAAAAUUAGGACUCUAAGUGUUAGAGCAAAAUUUUAUUUGUAACUCGACUUUUUGUAAAAGAUUUUAUUUUCAAGUGAAAUUUUCUAAGGGCAGUUGAAUCAAAAUUGAUGCCUCCUUUACAUUCAUGCAUUUGCAUUACAUCACAUCAUUAUGCAUUAAAGGCCAUAAGAGUUUUCUAAUUAAUUAAUUAAAAAUUAUUUCAGUAACCUGGAAACCAACGAAAACCAACCAACCACGCACCCCUACGGUACAAGAAAAAAAUCAAUAGAUAAGAGACUCGAGAAAUUGGAGCAAAUGCAAAAGGACAUGCAAGAUCAAAUGCAGUCUCAGAUGCAAGAGCAGCUAGCCAAGAUUCAACGAGAAAUGAAGGAGCAAAUGAUGAAGUCUCAGAGAGAAAUGAUGUCUUAGUUAUCCAAAUUGCUGCUGAUAGGAACGGAUAAGGGAAAGGGCCCCAUGGACAAAGUUGAAGAAGCUAAUGAGGAUCCUCAAUACCCCCUGGCUUCACUCCGACACAUGUACCAAUGAAGCCCGAGAUUAAUCUACCGAAACCAUCUGUCAUGAUCAUGCCCCAGCAGAUUCAGGCCGAAGCUUCAAUACCGAUGAAUUUCCAAACCAGCUCAGGCUCUAACUUUGUCAACAACCCGAACUAUCCGCUCGUUCCCGACUUGGAUGAAAUUGCUGAAGAAGAAAAGGAGAGGAUGGAAUCGCAAAAACAAUUGGAAGAACGGUGUAGAUGGCUUGAGAAGAAAUUCAAACCCAUGGAGAGCGCGGAUCAUCAUCAAGGGAUUGAUGCCAAGGACUUGAGUUUGGUCCCAGAUUUAGUCCUCCCCCCCAAAUUCAAAAUACCCGAAUUCGAGAAAUACAAUGGAACGAGCUGCCCUGAAGCCCACAUCACUAUGUUCUACAGACGAAUGACGGGAUAUGUUAAUAACGACCAGCUAUUAAUCCAUUGCUUUCAAGAUAGUCUGGUCGCGGCGGCGUCUAAGUGGUAUAACCAAUUAAGCCGAGCUAAAAUCAACUCAUGGAAGGACCUGGCUCAGGCCUUUAUGAAGUAAUACAGUCAUGUGAUGGACAUGACCCCCGACAGAAUCACUCCCCAGAAUAUGGAGAAAAAGCCAAAUGAAAGCUUCAGACAGUACGCACAAAGGUGGAGAGAAGUGGCCAUACAAGUUCAGCCGCCACUUCUAGAAAAAGAGACGACAAUGCUCUUUAUUAACACCUUGAAAGCCCCUUUUAUCACUCAUAUGUUGGGAAGCGCCACCAAGAGCUUCUCCGACAUAGUGAUAACAGGGGAAAUGAUCGAAAAUGCCAUGAGAAGCGGUAAGAUAGAAACCGGAGAAAGUCCAGGAAGUCAGCCCCGAGGAAAAGAGACAAUGAAGUGAACAACACGAGCACAUCCAACAAAGGUCAGUCCAAGUCAUUCACCGUAAAUCAACCCAAGACGGUGACCACCAAUCAGCAAAGCUCUGUAAGACAAGAAUCCAAUGCAAGGGAGAACAUAGAAAGGCCACAAUUCACCCUUAUACCCAUGAGGUAUAGGGAGUUGUACAAGAACCUGUUCAACGCUCAUGUGGUGUCCCCUUUCUACCUGAAGCCACUACAGCCCCCGUAUCCUAAAUGGUAUGACACAAAAGCCCAAUGUGAAUACCACGCGAGAAUCACCGGGCGCUCUAUCGAAAACUGCGUUGCGUUUAAAAAAUUCGUCGAAAGACUCAUUAAGAUGGGGAUUGUGAGAUUUGACGACCUAGCCACACCCAAUGUAGCAGGAAACCCACUCCCCAAUCAUACUGACCAAGGAGUGAAUGGGAUAAGUGAAGGCUUGAACAAGAAGACCAAGUAUGAAGUGGCAGAAGUCAGAACCCCGUUGAGGUGGGUAUGGAAGGAGAUGGCCAAGAGAGGAUUGAUCGCGUUGGAUUUGAGGGAAGAAUCCGAUAAGAGAGAAACUACUGUGAGUUUCACGACGAGGUGGGGCAUGAAAUCCAAGAUUGCGUGGAGUUCAGGGCCCUAGUACAAAACAUGAUGAACAAUAAGGAAAUGGAAUUCUAUGAAGAGAUCGAAGACCCUGUAGAGGGAGAUAUAUGAGCAUCGGAGGGAGAAUCGAAGGCGCAGAAUCAAACGACUAACUACCCUAUGGUUAUCAUAUCGAGACCUAAAAAUAAUGAAGCUGGAGUACAAAUGCCACCGAGGGUCAUAAUCCAAAGACCUGCAGUCUUCCCUUACAAGGAGAGCAAAAAGGUCCCAUGGAAUUAUGAUUGCAGUGUGAUGAUGCUGGGGAAGGAAAGCCUCGUGGAUGCUUCAAAAGAGGGUCAAGACAAGGGCUCUUGUACACGUAGCGGGAGAGAUUCAAAUGCAGCAAAUAAGGAGGUACAACCCGUAAAAGGAAAAGCCCUAAUGGCCGAGGAAAUGAAAGAAAAAGCAACCAAACCUGUUAACGAGCCAGUUAACGAAGAGGAGGCCAAGGAGUUUUUAAAAUUCCUAAAGCAUAGCGAAUACAGUGUGGUGGAACAGCUACAUAAACAACCAGUCCGCAUUUCAGUGCUGGCCUUGCUUCUAAGCUCGGAAGUUCAUCGUAGCGUGCUAAUGAAGGUCUUAAACGAGACAUAUGUUGCCAACGAUAUCUCCGUUAACAAGCUAGACCAUUUGGUGAGCAACAUAAGUGCCGACAAUUAUAUCUUCUUUAGUGACGACGAGAUACCACCUGGGGGCAUGGGGUCGACUAAAGCUCUGCAUAUCACCACACACUGUAAAGGGUAUACGCUGCCUGGCGUACUGAUCGACAAUGGAUCAGCCUUGAACGUCCUGCCAUUGACUACGCUGAACAGAUUACCUAUAGACAGCUCUCACAUGAAGGAGUGCCAGAACAUCGUGAAGGCAUUCGAUGGCACGGAGAGAAAGGUGAUGGGCAGAAUCGAGGUACCUCUUCAGAUUGGGCCAAACACAUAUGAGGUGGAUUUUCUCGUGAUGGAUAUCAAACCCUCAUAUAAUUGCUUAUUGGGGAGGCCCUAGAUACAUUCAGCUGGGGCAGUGCCUUCCUCGUUGCAUCAAAAAUUGAAGCCGGUAUCGGAAGGGAGGUUGAUAACGAUCAAGGCCGAAGAAGAUAUUAUUGCAACUGUGAGCAAUAAUGCACCCUAUUUGGAGUCGGAUGACGAAGCAAUCGAAUGCUCAUUUCGAUCUUUGGAAUUUGUUAAUGUGGCGUUCAUCACUGAGGGAAGCAAAAUUCUAGUGCCGAAAUUGUCCAAAACCACGAGGAUGAGCCUCCAGUUGACAAUUGGAAAAGGAGCCCUACCCGGAAAGGGACUUGGGAAACAUCUAUAAGGAAGGACUGAAACUCCAAUGCUGAAAGACAAGAGAGACCGCUUCGAUUUAGGAUUUAAGCCGGAUGCGAAACAAAGGAGGAGGGAGCUGGAAAAGAAGCAAGAAAGAAGGAGAGCUCGAUUAACGGGGGAGGAAAUCAAGUGGGAACCAAUGAUAUUCCCCCAUAUAUCAAAAACAUUUGUGUCUGGGGGAAUCAUUCAUCCCGAGAGAGACACGCCAAUGACGGGAGCUAUAGAAGAAAGGCUGGAAAGCUUGGACAUCAACGUCAUGUACGAAGAGGAGACUGGAAGAGAAAGUUUAUCAGACAUUGGCCCCUACGCACCUGGAAGUGUUCUGGACAACUGGACUGCGGAAGAGAUCCCUUUAGUUUUUAGAACGAAUUCAGAGUAAUGUCCAAAACACACUUAUUACUCUAGGCCUAGGAGUGAUAAGGUUCUUUUUUGAAAUAGGCUGAUGUUUAAAAAUGUUGUUUCAAUAAAAUGCACGGUUAUUAUCAUUUUUGAGCAAAUGUUCUCUCGUCCUCUCUAUUUCAUUCAUAACCAUACAAAUGAUUACUUUUGGAUUCUUUCAUCCUUGAAACAUUCUUCUAAAUAUUCUUUCAUUCGUCAUUCAUAAUCAUACCACGCAAAUAAAUGUUUCGAAUUCUUUUGAUUCUUUGUAUGUGCCUUCAUCCUCAUAACAGGUCCCCAGAUAUUAAUGAUACGAGUGACACUGUUAGCGACUCAGAAUUUCCUUUCGAGCAAGAUGUGUAUAUGGAUGAUUCUCAGGAUUUUGAAGAUGACCAUGGCUAUAACCUAUCUCCUGAUUUAUUGAGGAGGGUAGAACAAGACGAGAAACAAAUCCUACCUCACAAAGAAUCAGUUGAAAUUGUGAGCUUAGGAGAAGGACAAGAGGUGAAGAUCGGAACAUGUAUCACUAUGAAAAUGAAGCGAGACCUCAUUGAACUACUUCAAGAAUUCAAAGAUGUCUUCGCAUGGUCAUACCAAGAUAUGCCCGGGUUGGACACUGAUAUCGUGGUGCAUCGACUUCCCAUAAAAGAAGAGUGUAAGCCAGUUCAGCAAAAAACUCCGAAGAAACAUAACCCAGAUGAAUGGGAUGAAGAAUGCCAAAGGGCUUUCGACAAGGUCAAAUAGUACUUAUCCAACGCCUCGGUGCUGAUGCCACCUAACCCCGAUAAGCCGUUGAUACUGUACUUGGCAGUAUUCGAGAAUUCUAUGGGAUGCGUAUUAGGUCAGCAUGAUGAGUCAGGAAGGAAAGAGAAGGCCAUUUACUAUCAUAGUAAAAAGUUCACAGAAUGUGAGACAAGGUACCCGCCGAUAGAGAAGUUGUGUUGUGCCCUAAUUUGGACAAUGCGAAGGCUGAGGCAGUAUAUGUUGUAUCACACCACUUGGCUCAUACCAAAAUUGGACCCUUUAAAGUACAUGAUGGAGUCAACUGCUUUGAAUGGAAGGAUGGCCCGAUGGCAGAUUCUACUUUCUGAAUUCGACAUAGUCUAUGUGAACCAGAAAGUAGUAAAAGGAAGUGCAAUAGCAGAUUUUUUGGCCAGUAGAGCUUUGGAAGACUACGAGCCUUUGAACUUCGACUUCCCGAAUGAAGACCUAAUGUGUGUUGCUACCACUAAAGAGGGGGCUCUGGCAGAACUUCCUUGGAAACUAAACUUCGAUGGGGCGUCAAACGCUAUGGGUAAUGGAAUCGGGGCCGUCUUGGUAUCCCCAAAUGGAGAUCAUUAUCCAUUCACUAGUAAAUUGGAUUUUGAUUGUAUGAAUAACAUGGCAGAAUACGAAGCGUGCAUCAUGGGUAUCCGCGCAGCCAUAGAUCACAAUAUUAAAGUGCUAGAGGUGUUCGAGGAUUCUGCGCUAGUGAUUUUUCAACUCAAGGGAGAAUGGGAGACUAGAAACCCCAAGUUAAUCGAUUAUCGGAAGCUGGUCCUUGAAUUGAUUAAAGAGUUUGAUGACAUUACCUUCCACUACCUUCCACGAAACGAAAAUCAGAUGGCUGAUGCUUUGGCUACCUUAGCCUCCAUGAUCAAGGUGAACAAACAAGAAGAUGUCAAACCCAUCCAGAUGAGCAUUUAUGAAGUUCUGGCCCACUGUUACAAUAUUGAAGAAGACGAAGAGAAAGAUGAUCACCCUUGGUAUCAUGAUAUAUUUCAAUACGUGAAGAAUCGUAAGUACCCGGACCAGGCAAGCGAGAAUGACAAAAGAACACUAAAAAGAUUGGCCAUCGACUAUGUCCUAGAUGGGGAUAUCCUGUACAAAAGAAGAAAGGAUCAAGUGCUACUAAGAUGUGUAGACGCUGUAGAAGCUAAGAAAAUCUUGGAAGAAGUCCACGAAGGUGUCUGUGGGACACACGCUAAUGCCUUUACAAUGGCUAGGCAAAUUAUGAGAUUCGGGUACUAUUGGUCCACCAUAGAAGGAGACUGUGUCAAUUACGCUAAGAGAUGCCAUAAGUGCCAAAUCUACGGAGACAAAAUUCAUGUACCUCCUUCAUCGCUGCAUGUCAUGGUUUCUCCAUGGCCAUUCUCUAUGUGGGGCAUGGAUGUGAUUGGACCAAUAUCGCCGAAAGCUUCCAAUGGGCAUCGGUUCCUCUUUGUGGUUAUUGACUACUUUACCAAAUGGGUAGAGGCCGCUUCGUAUGCUAGUGUUACAAAGUCAGCGAUCAGCAGGUUAUUGAAAAAAUAGAUCAUAUGUCGAUACGGAAUGCCAGAGAGGAUCAUAUCUGACAAUGCAUUAAACUUGAACAAUAGUACGAUAGCGGAGGUCUGCAGUCAAUUUAAGAUCAGACAUCGCAACUCGUCACCAUAUCGCCCGAAGAUGAAUGGGGCAGUGGAAGCAGCCAAUAAAAAAUUAAGAAGAUUGUGGGGAAGAUGACCGAGACCUAUAAAGAUUGGCAUGAAAAAUUACCGUUUGCCCUCUUUGCUUAUCGAGCGUCAAUCAGAACCUCAACCCGGGCAACCCCUUUCUCUUUGGUCUACGGAAUGGAAGCAGUGCUGCCGAUCGAAGCUGAGAUUCUAUCCCUCCGAGUGUUGUCGGAACUAAAAUUGGACGAAGUAGAGUGGGUCCAGUCUCGAUAUGACCAAUUGAACUUGAUCGAGGAAAAGAGGCUAAAAGCUAUUCCUCAUGGUCAGAUGUACCAAAAACGAAUGAUGCGGGCUUAUGACAAAAAGGUUCGCCCUAGAGAAUUCCACGAGGGAGACCUGGUUUUGAAAAAGAUCCUUCCCAUACAGAAGGAUUUUUGAGGGAAAUGGAUGCCUAAUUGGGAAGGGCCUUACGUGGUGAAGAAAGCUUUCUCUGGAGGAGCAUUGAUCCUAGCCGAGAUGGACGGUAGAAAUUUGCCCAAUCUUGUAAACUCGGAUUCGGUCAAGAAGUAUUUUACCUGAAAAAAGAGGGGCCAGAGUGAAAACCCGCAAAGGGCGCUCUGAGAUUAUCAAAAAAAAAUGGAGAGGCCAAGGUGAAAACCCGCAAAGGGCACUUUGGAACCAAAGGGGCUUUUGAGUUGAAAACCCGAACACGGGUAGCUCAAAUUUUGAAUAUGGUGCAUAUGGUAGUCUUGUCCUUCCAAAAUCAAUAAGACAGAAGAACAGUACACAUUGAAGCAUCAACAAGAUACGCAGGAUCUCCUGAAUACACAUUUGGUUCAAAGGAGCCUUUGAGAAAUUAGAAUAGUGAAACUCGUGCUACGAUAUCUGGGGCACCUUUUUCUCAUUUUUUGCACCUUAUCAGAUUCGUAUUCUUAUGUAUUCACAUCAAAUUUUGCUUAAUAAAACUCCACUGGUCCAUUAUGAUAAUCUCUUUCGAGCAUUUUUGUUGAAAUCAUGAUUUUUGAACAUGUAAUAUUCACACAAAAGAUGUUAUGCAUAUUACUCUGGAAAGUCUCUAAAUGGUACAAGGACCUGAAAUAGGGCCACUAGUUAGGACUAACCAGGUUCAAAGUUGGAAAACAAUGAGAAAAGAGUAGUCCAAAUUAUGACUAUUUCUUCAAAUUUUCUGUCAGAGAUAACAGCUAAGCAAGAAGACAUGAUAGCUUAUCAGUGAUAGAGCCCGGACGAAUUAUGAGCAAUGACACCUUAAGCGUUUAAAAAGGAAUCACUCUCAUGACAUUUCUACAUCCAUAAUCAUUCAUUUAAUUAGGAGCACUUGAGUCAUUUCGAUCAUAACUUUCUGAUUAUUUGACAUAAACACCACAUCUAGUUAGGGACAUUUGAUUCAUCUCGAUCAUAGCAUCCUAGUUAUUUGACAUACACAGAUACAGGAAACCUAUUCUACACAUCAUGUCUUUAGAAGACAGUGUAGCGAAAUUGGCAAAUCCUGCAGAUUUGGCAUCUCUAUAUUGGCGGAGAGCAGAUCGAAGAUAGCAGAUUUGGUGUCUCUGUAUUGGCGGAGAGUAGAUCGAAGGUAGCAGAUUUGGCGUCUCUGUAUUGUCAGAGGGCAGAUCGAAGAUAGCAGAUUUGGCGUCUCUGUAUUGUCAGAGGACAGAUCGAAGGUAGAAGAUUUGGCGUCUCUGUAUUGUCAAAGGGCAGAUCGAAGAUAACAGAUUUGGCAUCUCUGUAUCGGCAGAGAGCAGAUCAAAGAUAGCAGAUUUGGCAUCUCUGUAUUGGCGGAAAGCAGAUCGAAGAUAGCAGAUUUGGUGUCUCUGUAUUGUCAGAGAGCAGAUCGAAGAUAGCAGAUUUGGUGUCUCUGUAUUGGCGGAGAGCAGAUCGAAGAUAGCAGAUUUGGCAUCUCUGUAUUAUCAGAGAGCGGAUCGAACAUAGCAGAUUUGGCAUCUCAGUGUUGGCAGAGAGCAGAUCGGAAAUAACAGAUGGGUGCUCCUGAGUUCUCAAGAAACGAGUUGAGGAUAGCCAAUUUGACACUCCUGAAGACAUCAGAAUACCUUUGCGGAAGAAGAGGAUCAAGAUUUUGAGACUUAGCCAGACCGUUCAAAUUUGGUCCUUUUUAUAGUCUUUGCUCUAUUUUUGUUACACGACAAUAAGCAAAGAGGGGCAGCUGUAAAUGGGCAAAUUUGCCCGGGCCCACUAGAAACCCAAAUAUACAACAAUAAAUAAAUAUAUAUAUAUUAAAAACCCAACAGAUAUUAUAAACAGUCCUUUUUUACAGCCCAGUACCCAAAACUAAAUACAAUGGGCCCGAUGCCCCAAGUACCAUAUACAAACCCAAAACAUAACCCAAGACCCAAUUAAAAUCUAAUAGCUAAAACCUAACCCAAUACCCCAGAGGCCCAAACGAUAGCCCAACUACAAGAACAGGUCCAAUAAACCCAUAUCCUUAACAGGUUUCAGAAACCCUAAGUCAUCCCCUUCCUUGCAUCACAGCAACCCCUGGCCUUCGUACCCCCUUGCGCCAUACGCUCAGUACCCUCCAGCAGCCACGCCCACGCCUCCGUACGGCUCCCUGCACACCUCCGUACGGCCUUCACAUACCACCCGUACCCGAGCGCCAGCACACCCACACCUACAAAGAGACAAACAAGCAACAACAGCAAAGGGAAAUAAAAAAAGAAAAACAUUGUAUUUUUUAUUUUUCGUAAAUUUUUCCUCUUUCUUUUUCGGCUAUAAAGCUAGAAUUUUAGUCUUUGUAAAGGGUUACGCAACAAAAAAAUGAAAUAUCAACGCAUAUUGUAUGAAUACAGAGACAAUAGAAAGCAAUCGAAAAAACUGAGAAGGUGAUUUCCCUUCCCUUUUGAACUCUCUGUUCUUCACUUAUUUCAGUGGGCUUUUCUUCAUCGUUUUAUACUAAAAAAAAGGGAGAAGCGAAGCUUACCUACGUUUGAUGCCUUCAAACCCUCGCUUGCUUCGCUAUGAUUGAAACCAAGUGGCGAUUCGGGGUUUAUGAGCAAGACGCGUGAGUCUUUCGAUUCGAUGAAGCCUUGAUUGACUCUCGAAUGAGUCAAAAGGAGAGGCAGGAGAACAGGCCUUCGAAAGACCAGUGAACGACGAAGGGUGAGGGCACCCUAGUUCUUUUUUUCUUUCUCACCCUUUGAAGAUGGCUGCAGACCCUUUUAGGGUUUC